rnacentral:misc_RNA from 1 species
GUAGGUGAACCUGCGGAAGGAUCAUUACAGAGUUCAUGCCCCUCGGGGUAGAUCUCCCACCCUUGUGUAUCAUUAUAGAAUGUUGCUUUGGCGGGCCGCGUUUCGGCGCCUGGAUUCGCGUCCAGCGUGCCCGCCAGAGGACCCAAAACCCUGAAUAUUAGUGUCGUCUGAGUAAAAUUUUAAUAUUUAAAACUUUCAACAACGG